rnacentral:rRNA from 1 species
GAGUUUGAUCCUGGCUCAGGAUGAACGCUGGCGGCGUGCCUAAUACAUGCAAGUCGAGCGAACAGAUAAGGAGCUUGCUCCUUUGAAGUUAGCGGCGGACGGGUGAGUAACACGUGGGUAACCUACCUAUAAGACUGGGAUAACUUCGGGAAACCGGAGCUAAUACCGGAUAAUAUUUAGAACCGCAUGGUUCUAAAGUGAAAGAUGGUUUUGCUAUCACUUAUAGAUGGACCCGCGCCGUAUUAGCUAGUUGGUAAGGUAACGGCUUACCAAGGCGACGAUACGUAGCCGACCUGAGAGGGUGAUCGGCCACACUGGAACUGAGACACGGUCCAGACUCCUACGGGAGGCAGCAGUAGGGAAUCUUCCGCAAUGGGCGAAAGCCUGACGGAGCAACGCCGCGUGAGUGAUGAAGGGUUUCGGCUCGUAAAACUCUGUUAUUAGGGAAGAACAAAUGUGUAAGUAACUGUGCACAUCUUGACGGUACCUAAUCA